GAUGAACGCUGGCGGCGUGCCUAAUACAUGCAAGUCGAGCGAACGGACGAGAAGCUUGCUUCUCUGGUGUUAGCGGCGGACGGGUGAGUAACACGUGGAUAACCUACCUAUAAGACUGGGAUAACUUCGGGAAACCGUAGCUAAUACCGGAUAAUAUUUUGAACCGCAUGGUUCAAAAGUGAAAGACGGUCUUGCUGUCACUUAUAGAUGGAUCCGCGCUGCAUUAGCUAGUUGGUAAGGUAACGGCUUACCAAGGCAACGAUGCAUAGCCGACCUGCGAGGGUGAUCGGCCACACUGGAACUGAGACACGGUCCAGACUCCUACGGGAGGCAGCAGUAGGGAAUCUUCCGCAAUGGGCGAAAGCCUGACGGAGCAACGCCGCGUGAGUGAUGAAGGUCUUCGGAUCGUAAAACUCUGUUAUUAGGGAAGAACAUAUGUGUAAGUAACUGUGCACAUCUUGACGUUACCUAAUCAGAAAGCCACGGCUAACUACGUG
rnacentral:rRNA from 1 species